AGGACGAACGCUGGCGGCGUGCCUAACACAUGCAAGUGGAGCGACGAACCAGGCUUCGGCCUGGGGCAAAGCCGCGAACGGGUGAGUAACACGUGGGUAACCUGCCCCGAUGACCGGGACAACCCGAGGAAACUCGGGCUAAUACCGGAUGUGUCCUCCGGCCAUAAGGCCGCUGGGGAAAGGAAGCUUCGGCCUCCGCAUCGGGAUGGGCCCGCGGCCGAUUAGUUAGUUGGCGGGGUAAUGGCCCACCAAGACAGUGAUCGGUA
rnacentral:rRNA from 1 species